rnacentral:rRNA from 1 species
UACAGAGGGUGCAAGCGUUGUUCGGAAUUAUUGGGCGUAAAGCGCGCGCAGGCGGUCCUUUAAGUCUGAUGUGAAAGCCCACGGCUCAACCGUGGAGGGUCAUUGGAAACUGGGGGACUUGAGUGCAGAAGAGGAAAGUGGAAUUCCACGUGUAGCGGUGAAAUGCGUAGAGAUGUGGAGGAACACCAGUGGCGAAGGCGACUCUCUGGUCUGUAACUGACGCUGAGGCGCGAAAGCGUGGGGAGCAAACAGG